CAGCAGCCGCGGGAAUACGAAGGGGGCUAGCGUUGUUCGGAUUUACUGGGCGUAAAGCGCACGUAGGCGGACUUUUAAGUCAGGGGUGAAAUCCCGGGGCUCAACCCCGGAACUGCCUUUGAUACUGGGAGUCUUGUGUUCGAGAGAGGUGAGUGGAAUUGCGAGUGUAGAGGUGAAAUUCGUAGAUAUUCGCAGGAACACCAGUGGCGAAGGCGGCUCACUGGCUCGAUACUGACGCUGAGGUGCGAAAGCGUGGGGAGCAAACAGGAUUAGAUACCCGUGUAGUCCCUGUCUCUUAUAC
rnacentral:rRNA from 1 species